GACGAACCGAGCGAACGUUGUUCGGAAUCACUGGGCUUAAAGGGCGCGUAGGCGGGUUGCCGCGUCCGGGGUGAAAUCCCACGGCUCAACCGUGGAACGGCCCCGGAUACGGGCGGCCUGGAGGGGGGUAGGGGCGGGCGGAACUCUGCGUGGAGCGGUGAAAUGCGUUGAUAUGCAGAGGAACUCCGGUGGCGAAGGCGGCCCGCUGGACCCCAUCUGACGCUGAGGCGCGAAAGCCAGGGGAGCGAAC
rnacentral:rRNA from 1 species